GAUGAACGCUGGCGGCGUGCCUAAUACAUGCAAGUCGAGCGAACGGACGAGAAGCUUGCUUCUCUGAUGUUAGCGGCGGACGGGUGAGUAACACGUGGAUAACCUACCUAUAAGACUGGGAUAACUUCGGGAAACCGGAGCUAAUACCGGAUAAUAUUUUGAACCGCAUGGUUCAAAAGUGAAAGACGGUCUUGCUGUCACUUAUAGAUGGAUCCGCGCUGCAUUAGCUAGUUGGUAAGGUAACGGCUUACCAAGGCAACGAUGCAUAGCCGACCUGAGAGGGUGAUCGGCCACACUGGAACUGAGACACGGUCCAGACUCCUACGGGAGGCAGCAGUAGGGAAUCUUCCGCAAUGGGCGAAAGCCUGACGGAGCAACGCCGCGUGAGUGAUGAAGGUCUUCGGAUCGUAAAACUCUGUUAUUAGGGAAGAACAAAUGUGUAAGUAACUAUGCACGUCUUGACGGUACCUAAUCAGAAAGCCACGGCUAACUACGUGCCAGCAGCCGCGGUAAUACGUAGGUGGCAAGCGUUAUCCGGAAUUAUUGGGCGUAAAGCGCGCGUAGGCGGUUUUUUAAGUCUGAUGUGAAAGCCCACGGCUCAACCGUGGAGGGUCAUUGGAAACUGGAAAACUUGAGUGCAGAAGAGGAAAGUGGAAUUCCAUGUGUAGCGGUGAAAUGCGCAGAGAUAUGGAGGAACACCAGUGGCGAAGGCGACUUUCUGGUCUGUAACUGACGCUGAUGUGCGAAAGCGUGGGGAUCAAACAGGAUUAGAUACCCUGGUAGUCCACGCCGUAAACGAUGAGUGCUAAGUGUUAGGGGGUUUCCGCCCCUUAGUGCUGCAGCUAACGCAUUAAGCACUCCGCCUGGGGAGUACGACCGCAAGGUUGAAACUCAGAGGAAUUGACGGGGACCCGCACAAGCGGUGGAGCAUGUGGUUUAAUUCGAAGCAACGCGAAGAACCUUACCAAAUCUUGACAUCCUCUGACCCCUCUAGAGAUAGAGUUUUCCCCUUCGGGGGACAGAGUGACAGGUGGUGCAUGGUUGUCGUCAGCUCGUGUCGUGAGAUGUUGGGUUAAGUCCCGCAACGAGCGCAACCCUUAAGCUUAGUUGCCAUCAUUAAGUUGGGCACUCUAAGUUGACUGCCGGUGACAAACCGGAGGAAGGUGGGGAUGACGUCAAAUCAUCAUGCCCCUUAUGAUUUGGGCUACACACGUGCUACAAUGGACAAUACAAAGGGCAGCGAAACCGCGAGGUCAAGCAAAUCCCAUAAAGUUGUUCUCAGUUCGGAUUGUAGUCUGCAACUCGACUAUAUGAAGCUGGAAUCGCUAGUAAUCGUAGAUCAGCAUGCUACGGUGAAUACGUUCCCGGGUCU
rnacentral:rRNA from 1 species